rnacentral:pre_miRNA from 1 species
AUUCUACUCCCUCCGUUCAGAAUUACUUGUCGCGAAAAUGGAUGUAUCUAGAUGUAUUUUAGUUCUAGAUACAUUCAUUUUCAAGACAAAUAAUUCCGAACAGAAGGAGUAUCUC